rnacentral:rRNA from 1 species
UACGAAGGGGGCUAGCGUUGUUCGGAAUUACUGGGCGUAAAGGGCGCGUAGGCGGUCCUGAUCGUCGGAUGUGAAAGGCCUGGGCUCAACCUGGGAAUGGCGAUGGAUACUGGCGGGCUAGAGUGCGGUAGAGGAGAGUGGAAUUCCCGGUGUAGCAGUGAAAUGCGUAGAGAUCGGGAGGAACAUCAGUUGCGAAGGCGGCUCUCUGGACCAGCACUGACACUGAGGCACGAAAAGCGUGGGGGAGCAAACAGG